rnacentral:rRNA from 1 species
GAUGAACGCUGGCGGCGUGCUUAACACAUGCAAGUCGAACGGAAAGGCCCAAGCUUGCUUGGGUACUCGAGUGGCGAACGGGUGAGUAACACGUGGGUGAUCUGCCCCGCACUUCGGGAUAAGCCUGGGAAACUGGGUCUAAUACCGGAUAGGACCGUCGUUUGGAUGCCAUUGUGGAAAGUUUUUUCGGUGUGGGAUGAGCUCGCGGCCUAUCAGCUUGUUGGUGGGGUAAUGGCCUACCAAGGCGUCGACGGGUAGCCGGCCUGGGAGGGUGUACGGCCACAUUGGGACUGAGAUACGGCCCAGACUCCUACGGGAGGCAGCAGUGGGGAAUAUUGCACAAUGGGCGCAAGCCUGAUGCAGCGACGCCGCGUGGGGGAUGACGGCCUUCGGGUUGUAAACUCCUUUCGCUAGGGACGAAGCGUUAUGUGACGGUACCUAGAGAAGAAGCACCGGCUAACUACGUG